rnacentral:rRNA from 1 species
GAUGAACGCUCGCUACAGGCUUAACACAUGCAAGUCGAGGGGCAGCGGUAUCGAAAGCUUGCUUUCGGUAGCCGGCGACCGGCGCACGGGUGAGUAACGCGUAUCGAACCUGCCUCAUACUCGGGAAUAGCCUUGCGAAAGUAAGAUUAAUGCCCGGUGUUUUCAGAGUCCCGCAUGAGGCUUUGAACAAAGAUUCAUCGGUAUGAGAUGGCGAUGCGUCCCAUUAGCUUGUUGGCGGGGUAACGGCCCACCAAGGCAUCGAUGGGUAGGGGUUCUGAGAGGAAGGUCCCCCACAUUGGAACUGAGACACGGUCCAAACUCCUACGGGAGGCAGCAGUGAGGAAUAUUGGUCAAUGGGCGGAAGCCUGAACCAGCCAAGUAGCGUGCAGGAAGACGGCCCUCCGGGUUGUAAACUGCUUUUAGUUGGGAAUAAAACGGGGCUCGUGAGCCCCCUUGUAUGUACCAUCAGAAAAAGGACCGGCUAAUUCCGUG